rnacentral:rRNA from 1 species
AAGAUUAAGCCAUGCAUGUCUAAGUAUAACCAAUUUGUACGGUGAACUGCGAAUGGCUCAUUAUAUCAGUUAUGGUUUAUUUGAUGAUACCUACCACUUGGAUAACCGUGGUAAUUCUAGAGCUAAUACAUGCACUCGUAUCCCGACUUCUGGAAGGGAUGUAUUUAUUAGGUAAAGCCAACCCGUAGCAAUACGGUCUUUGGUGACUCAUGAUAACUUUGCGGAUCGCAU